CUUGUCUUUAAAUUUACAUCUUUGCAAUGAUCAUGUAAAUUUACAGGCACGGAAACAGAAAGAAGCAAUACGAUGUAAAAUGUCUGUAAAAAGUUAUUAUGUAAAAAUACUGUGAAAAGUUUGGAGAUUACUUGACAUUUUUGAAGCUGGAUAGUGGAAAAACCAUGUAGAUUUCAAACGGGGGCCCGAUAAUAAAAACCAUGGAAAAACCAUGGAAAUUUAUUGAGUAGCAGUCUUCAUAAAGUAUGUCAAUACCAUGUAAAUGAAAAUUGGGGGCCCGAUGAUAAAA